AAAGCGACGAUCAGUAGCCGGCCUGAGAGGGUGAACGGCCACAUUGGGACUGAGACACGGCCCAAACUCCUACGGGAGGCAGCAGUGGGGAAUAUUGCACAAUGGGGGAAACCCUGAUGCAGCGACGCCGCGUGAGUGAAGAAGUAUCUCGGUACGUAAAGCUCUAUCAGCAGGGAAGAAAAUGACGGUACCUGAUUAAGAAGCCCCGGCUAACUACGUGCCAGCAGCCGCGGUAAUACGUAGGGGGCAAGCGUUAUCCGGAUUUACUGGGUGUAAAGGGAGCGUAGACGGCAGCGCAAGUCUGGAGUGAAAUGCCGGGGCCCAACCCCGGAACUGCUUUGGAAACUGUGCAGCUCGAGUGCAGGAGAGGUAAGCGGAAUUCCUAGUGUAGCGGUGAAAUGCGUAGAUAUUAGGAGGAACACCAGUGGCGAAGGCGGCUUACUGGACUGUAACUGACGUUGAGGCUCGAAAGCGUGGGGAGCAAACAGGAUUAGAUACCCUGGUAGUCCACGCCGU
rnacentral:rRNA from 1 species